ACCGGCAAACAAAAAAUCUACUUUCACCCCUGGUAAUAAAGUUUAAAAAAAAAAUGGCGCAAAAAGGAAGUCACGUAAUACAUGUGCGCGUGAUUGGGGCGUGGUUAGGUAAAGGGGAUUGGGUAGCGACAGCGACAGCUCCAGUUCAAUCUUGACGUCCAUCUUGGCCUUGAACGGCUCCAGCAGGGGGCGUAUUUCUUCAGACAAGAAUCUGGUAACCUGCAGGAGAAGAAGAGCCUUCAGUGGUUUCAUGAAAGCAGGGAGCUGUAAACAAACGAGCAGAAGUCCUCCUUCACCUGCUGAGGGGCGUGCCCAAUGAAGGUCUUGGGAUCCAGCAGGGCGUCCAGCUGCCCCAGGAUGGGGGCGAAGUACGGGUCUCUCUGGACUCUGGCCAGCAGGUCAUUGUCUCCGCCCUCCUGUUUGACCACCGCCGCCGCCUCCUGGGAGAGAACGCGGAUCUUCUCGUGGCAGUCCUGGAGCCUGAACCAUGGCCAUGAUGAUGUUCUCUGUGGCCAUGAAGGGCAGCUCGUGGCGGAUGUGCCUCUCGAUGACCUUUGGAUAGACCACGAGACCCUCUGUGAUGUUCUGCAGGGUGCUGAGGAUGAUGUCUGCAGUCAGGAACGACUCGGGCAGAGAAAUCCUCCUGAAAGGUUGGCCAGCAGACGGAUAUCUGUGCAGAUCUAUGAGGGAGAGCAGAGACGGGUGCACUACCGCCAAACACCACUAGAUGGAGACAUUUCCUGCUGCUUACCUCGUGCACAGAAGCUCCUAAACUGGCCAGAUUGGACAGACAGUCGACAUCCACCUUUCGGUUGUAGGUCUGUCCAGUCACCAGCUGAUCGGGUCAGCUUGGAGGUCCAACGAAAUGGCACAGCAGCAUCAUCCCACUAUAAAACAGAGUCUGUGUGGAACCAGAACCAGGGGAACC
rnacentral:lncRNA from 1 species